GAGAAACUGGUCAUGGAUUAUCUGCAAGUUGAAGCUGAGGAGGAAGCCCUGCCGACCCAGGAUGCCGCCCUGUCCCCAAACCAGAGCCUGGAAGAAACAGAGCCGAGUGCGGAGGUGUUUCCAGUUGAGUUCCAG